CUUGCCCUAAAAGGACUCACUCCCUCUUGAGCUAGGUAAGGAGAAAUUUGAGGUGGAAGUUUUAUGGUGUUUUUGAUGUUUUUAGUCGAUUGCCCUAGUUAGGCUUGGAAUUGGUGUUUGUGCUAGUUAUGAAAGUUGUAGAGGAGAUUGAGAAGAAGAUUCUGUUAAAAUUUGGUAGCUUUUGCAGGUUGCCGGAGUUGGUCGCCGGCCGCCGGCGCCGCCGCCGCUGUUUUGGGAAAUUUUAUGGUUUUUGAUGUAGAAUAUUAAGGGGAUAUUAUUGAAGUGAAUUAUGGAAUUUUUGGAUGAGAUUUGGAUAGGUUUGUGAAUUUCCAAAGUUUGGUAUUUUUGGCGGUUAAUUAAUAUAGAAUCCGGCCGUAGGAUUUAAGUCGUAUUUUGGAGAGGUUGUAUUUACGACUGUUGAGUAUGAUAUUUAAGUUCGGAUUGUUCCGAUGUAAGAAUAUCGAAGUUAGGCAAUGAUGAGCGUAAUAAUGGCUCUCGGGUAAUUUUGCCUAUUUUGAUUAAAUAUUGGAUAUUGGUUGGGAAAUUAAUAUUAUAUUUGGAACAGGACGUGAAGAGGCUCGAGCAGACGAGACCCCAGAUUGACAUCAGGCUUAGGCCUAAUUCGUGAGUGGACUUUUGUUUUAAAUAAAUGCAUGCUAAGUUCACGAUUGAAUAAUUAAUGUCGUGGAGUAUUUUGCCGUCAAUUAAUUUUGACGCUUUUAUUUCUCUGAGAGAGAGUUAUCGAAAAUGGGAUUUUCGGUGAAUAUAAAUAUGUAUAUAUGAGAGAGUAUGUAUAAAAAAAAUGCUAGCUAGCCAUAUGUGUCUGUCCACCUUAAUGGCGUAGCAUAUAGCCGCAUUAUGGUGUGACGUGAGCGUUGGACGUAAAUGUAGUAGCCCUAUAUGAGUG
rnacentral:lncRNA from 1 species